UUUUACUGAAGAAAAAUCAACAAUCUCGUCUCUUUGCUUUGCGUCUAAUUUGGGUUUUCCCUUCCCUUCCCUUCCCUUGCCUUCCGCAAUUGGAAUCAAUGGCUAUCGUAGAAGUCUUUCUCGGUGCGUUCCUGAAAGUGCUCUUGGGAAAGAUGGCCUCUGGUGAGUGGUUGGAAUUUCUCCGCCACGAGGGCAUUCAUGCCCAGCUGAGCGAUUGGACCAACCCUCUCUCCCAAAUUCAAGCACUUCUCACUGACGCAGAGGAUAAGCAAUUGACCGAUCGAGUCGUGAACCAGUGACUGGACGAUCUCCAGGAUUUGGCAUAUGAUUUGGAUGAUUUAGUGGACGACUUCUCCACCGAAGCUUUGCGACAGAAGCUAAUGUCUGAGCCACCCUUAGCUAGUUCCAGCAAGGUAUGGAACUUCAUCCCCACUUGUUGUACCAAUUUCAAGCCAACUUCUGUCAUGUUUAAUUUCAAAAUGAGGUCCAAGAUUGAGGACAUCAAUACCAGAUUACACAAUAGUUUUGAACAAUGUUCGAAACUUAAUUUGGUUAAGAUUGUUGGAACCACACCUACACCUACACCUACUAAGACUUGGCAAAAACCAGAGUAAUGAACCUCGCAUUUAUGGGUGAGAACAUGAUCAGAGUAAGAUAAUUGAGCUGCUCGUAAGGGGGAUGAAUCAAGUCAUAGCAACGUUGGUGUAAUUCCCAUUGUGGGUAUGGGUGGGAUUGGCAAGACCACCCUCGCUCAGAUGGUAUACAACCAUGAAACCGUGCAGAAGCAUUUCGAUUUGAAAGUAUGGGUCUGUGUGUCAGAUGAGUUUAACAUUAUGAGAUAACAAAAGCAAUUUAUGAUUUAGUGACUGCCCAAACUUGCAGUUUUAAUAACUUGGAGCAAGCUCAAGUUAAACUAAAGAAUGCUUUGGCUGGAAAGAAGUUCUUAAUUGUUUUAGACGAUGUCUGGAACAAAAAAGACAGUGACUGGAAUGUUUUGAAGAAACCUUUCAAUGAUGGAGCCCAAGGGAGUAAAGUUCUGGUGACUACACGUGACAGAGAAGUUUCAGGAAUGAUGACAACUGUUGAACUUCAUGACAUUAAGAUCCUAUCAAAGGAGGAUUGUUGGUCAUUGUUUGCACGACAUGCCUUCGCGAAUACAAUUAUUGAUGCAUAUCCAAAUUUGUAUCAAUUGGUAAGGAGAUUGUGGAGAAAUGUAAAGUUUGCCUCUGGCUGCUAGGACACUCGGUGGCCUUUUAUGCAGCAAAGUACGAGAUGAGGAAUGGGUAAAUGUAUUGCGUAGUAAAAUAUGGGAUUUACCACACAAAAAAAUUGACAUCCUUCCUGCUUUGAGAUUUACCACACAAAAAUCUGAGACAAUUGUUUAUCACCGGAUGCAAAAAACUGAAGGACUUGCAGCUCUUGCCACACCGAUUGCAGUCCAUCAACUACCUUACUUCUCUUCAAGUUCUGUGGAUGAAUAUUUCACAAUGGAACAACAACUUCAAAAAGAUUGGUUUGCACAGUUUAUCCUCUCUUAAAACACUGUCGAUUUCAAGCAAAGAAGAAGAAGAUCUGGUGGGUUCUAGCUUUCUGAUAGAUAGGCUGUUGUUGCCCACCUCUCUGAUCUAUCUUUACAUCUGGGAUUUCCGAAAUCUGGAGAAGCUAUCUUCUAAGUUGUUUCAAAACCUCACCUCUCUUGAAGAACUUGAAAUUGAUGGUUGCCCUAGGCUCAAAUCUUUACCAGUGCAAAGGCUGCCUCCCUCACUUAAGAGAUUGUGGAUUAGGGGAAGUCGGAAACUAACAGGGAAGUGUGAAAAGGGGAAAGGCAAAUAUUGGCGCCACUUAGCUCACAUUCCUCAAAUCGACGUUCUUGGUGAUGUUGAUGUUGAUGUUGAUGAUGAUGAUGAUAAUGAUGAGUGAUAAGCUCUGUGGAGUCAAAUUGCUAGAAAUGUGCUUUCAAGGAUCUGAAUACAAAGAGAGGCUUCUUCCGAUAGAUUUCCUCGUCUGCUUUUAUUUCUCAAGGGAACCUCAACAAAUGGAAGAGUUCUCAUUUCUUUCCAACUUUGUGCAUUUGUCCUUGGAUAUCCUGUCCAUCUAGUGAUUGUUCGCUAUCCCCAUGUACACUUUGACCAAUCCUGGACAACAUAUCUCUAGUCUGGUCUUGGAUUGAAUCCUGGAUGGCUGAGUCUUGAUUGGUUACAUAACUGUACAAACAUCUCAUUCCUAUGGGGAUAUCAUGUUGCUUGCAAAAACUUCCGCAUCCAAACAGGUCACUUUUCGUGCUCCAUGUGUUUUGGCUUUUAUAGUUUAUCUUGCUUUUAGGUUGGCAAAAAUGAUCUUGUACUUCAUUCAAACAUUCUAUGAAGUGCUAGAUUUGAGCUGUUAACCUUAAUUUGAUGACCUUUUUUGCGAUGGACCAAGAAUAUUUGAUGCAGUUGCAAUGAUGGAAUUUACAUUGUCUCCUUGGAAUCUCAUAAUGUAUUAGGUGUAGGCCUUGAAGCACACCAUUUAACGCUUAUAAUUCCUCUCUUCCAAAAUAAAUAAGUUGAAUUAAUGUUUUUAUUAAUGACUAUUGAUUAAUCUAUAUAUUAUGUAGAAAUUUAAUGUAUAAAAAGAAAUGAUUGUAUUAUUGAUUGAUAUUUUGAUGUAUUACAAGAUUGAUUAAUUACAAUUCCUAUACAAUCUAUAUAUAGAAGAAAAUGUGGUAGUA